UGUUUUUUUACGUUUUUGGUAUCACGUUUUAUGCUUUUCGAAUGAGAUUUUAAUGAAUGUAAAUGACAUAAAGGGGCCUCAAAGAUUACUGUCACAAGAGAAAUGAUUGGAUAUAGAUUUCAAAACUUUACCGAAGAGG